rnacentral:rRNA from 1 species
AGAACGAACGCUGGCGGCAGGCUUAACACAUGCAAGUCGAACGCUCGUGAGCGAUCACGGGAGUGGCAGACGGGUGAGUAACGCGUGGGAACAUACCCUUUGGUUCGGGAUAACUCAGGGAAACUUGAGCUAAUACCGGAUACGCCCCUGGAUGAAAGUCUUGGGGGAAAGAUUGAUUGCCGGAGGAUUGGCCCGCGUUCGAUUAGCUUGUUGGUGAGGUAACGGCUCACCAAGGCGACGAUCGAUAGCUGGUCUGAGAGGAUGAUCAGCCACAUUGGGACUGAGACACGGCCCAAACUCCUACGGGAGGCAGCAGUGGGGAAUAUUGGACAAUGGGCGCAAGCCUGAUCCAGCCAUGCCGCGUGAGUGAUGACGGCCUUAGGGUUGUAAAGCUCUUUCGCUCGGGACGAUAAUGACGGUACCGAGAUAAGAACGCCCGGCUAACUUCGUGCCAGCAGCCGC